UACUGGAAACAAAAACAAAAC
rnacentral:piRNA from 1 species